GCGGAUAUGGCGGAAUUGGUAGACGCGUUGGAUUCAAAAUCCUAUGGUUUUUCCGUACAGGUUCAAGUCCUGUUAUCCGUAUUU
rnacentral:tRNA from 1 species